rnacentral:misc_RNA from 1 species
GAAAUGCGAUAAGUAAUGUGAAUUGCGGAAUUCAGUGAAUCAUCGAAUCUUUGAACGCACCUUGCGCUCCUUGGUAUUCCUUGGAGCAUGCCUGUUUGAGUAUCAUGAAAUCUUCAAAGUAAAUCUUUUGUUAACUCAAUUGGUUUCUACUUUGGUAUUGGAGGUCUUUGCAGCUUCACACCUGCUCCUCUUUGUUCAUUAGCUGGAUCUCAGUGUUAUGCUUGGUUCCACUCGGCGUGAUAAGUUAUCCAUCGCUGAGGACACUGUAAAAGGUGGCCAAGGUAAAUGCAGAUGAACCGCUUCUAAUAGUCCAUUGACUUGGACAAUACUUUUAUGAUCUGAUCUCAAAUCAGGUAGGACUACCCGCUGAACUUAAGC